rnacentral:rRNA from 1 species
UACGGGGGGGGCAAGCGUUGUUCGGAAUUACUGGGCGUAAAGGGCUCGUAGGCGGCCAACUAAGUCAGACGUGAAAUCCCCUCGGCUUAACCGGGGAACUGCGUCUGAUACUGGAUGCUUGAGUUUGGGAGAGGGAUGCGGAAUUCCAGGUGUAGCGGUGAAAUGCGUAGAUAUCUGGAGGAACACCGGUGGCGAAGGCGGCAUCCUGGACCAACACUGACGCCGAGGAGCGAAAGCCAGGGGAGCAAACGGG